AACGAACGCUGGCGGCAUGCCUAACACAUGCAAGUCGAACGAGACCUUCGGGUCUAGUGGCGCACGGGUGCGUAACGCGUGGGAAUCUACCCUUGGGUUCGGAAUAACAGUUAGAAAUGACUGCUAAUACCGGAUGAUGACGUAAGUCCAAAGAUUUAUCGCCCAAGGAUGAGCCCGCGUAAGAUUAGCUUGUUGGUGGGGUAAUGGCCUACCAAGGCGACGAUCUUUAGCUGGUCUGAGAGGAUGAUCAGCCACACUGGGACUGAGACACGGCCCAGACCCCUACGGGAGGAAGCAGUGGGGAAUAUUGGACAAUGGGCGAAGGCCUGAUCCAGCAAUGCCGCGUGGGUGAUGAAGGCCUUAGGGUUGUAAAGCUCUUUUACCAGGGAUGAUAAUGACAGUACCUGGAGAAUAAGCUCCGGCUAACUCCGUGCCAGCCGCCGCAGAAA
rnacentral:rRNA from 1 species